CCCCUGUACACAAUCGUUGAUAUAGUCAUGGUGGGUUUCAGUGCAUUCCUCUGGAUGUUUGCAACACAGUCAAAUAUCAUUGUUUUUUUUGCGGGGAGAAUUGACCGAAGUGAGCUGAUUUGAAGACAACGAUAAAUGACUACCUUACGCACCAAUAAUUUUAGCGAAGCUUCAUUGAUUGACUAUAUUUCUGCUCAAUGACCACUGAUCUUCUUGAAAUCUAGCUGGGUAGAUAGCCAAUGAGCUGAGGUAAACGCCAGUAUGUAAUGGUUUGGGGUUGGACCACAAUUCCUUGGUUGUAAUCGCACGCGCAAGGAACUCCAUGUUCGCCUUGACGAUCAGAGGGGUUGCUGUAAAGGCUUUUUACACGCAGCUGUAUUUCGGAAAGUUGUAGUUUCAACGAUUUCAUUGAAGAUAUCCUGGCGAAUACAUAAUGUAAAGUGAAGUCAAACUCUACAGUGAAAGUGAGACAGAUUUUUUUGUUUGAGGAAUCUUGGAGUGUUAUGAUUCAAACGAACUGAGGAGCUGUUUCUGCAAGGACAGGACGUACUUCUGGACGGUGAUAGCGACUCCGACUGGGAGGCCCCGGUGCCAAGCUGCCCGCUCUACCUGUGCCCCCAAUGGUGUUCAUAUGCCACAGUUCAUUACUGCAGGCAUGACUGUGCCUCAGGGCCAAAAGGGCACAGCAUGGAGGCGUCGUUGUGUUCUGUGUCGCAUGAAAUGCACCACUUGUUCAGUUUGCCUCUGCUUUACAUCAGAAAGAGACUGCUAUGGGACAGGGCACAGGCAGCAAAAUACUGUGACGAGGAUUUCCAAGGGGUGUACUGAUUUUUUUUUUCUAUAUUUAUUUUCUAAUAUUUUUUAAAACAUUUUUUGUGUGUGUGUUAGAAUUGCUUUUUGAUGUGUUGUAUACAGUUAUUUGCACUGCUGUAUAUAGUUAUAGGUCAUUUCACCAAUUCGGCCACUUGGGUACAUUUGGGCAACUUGUGUGGGACACAGUUAUCAGUCUGAAACUUUGCACACCUACAGUUGCCCUCUUGUGCUGUCCAUCAAAAUCUCCAGCAUCCUAUCUGACUGUGUGGCUAUUCUAGUACAUGUGAAAGAUGAUACUACAAUAAAAAAACAGAAAACGUA